UUUUGUAGACUACAUUUAAUAAUGAUAUAUGUCUCCAGUUAUCUAAAUAGAAUUUACCUUUUUCCUUCUUUUUCCACACAUGUUAUAAUCCCUCUGCUUUUGUGUAGAUAAUAGUUCCCCUAUUUCAUAACCAUAAUUUAUAGAUCUAAUGACAAAAUGUCCUAUCUUUUUCCAAAAUAUUUUAAAAAAAUUCCACAGUAAAUCCAUCGCUCCCUGGACUUUUGUUGUUAGCCAUAUUCUUCAAUACUACCAAACCCUCAUUAUACAUGUACAUGUAAUUUUACCUUCAACGGAUAUUUUCCCCCUUGUACGUAAGUUGUGGUACUUUAUAGUCCUUUAAUUUAUCAUUUAAAUAAAUUUUGGACUCUUUCUGUUGUUGGGGAUUAUAUAGAUUUUUGUAAAAUGUCUCACUUUCUCUUAAAAUUUUAUUUUGUUUUGUUAUUUCUAUUUGCAUGUCAUUAUCAGUUUUAAUUAUCUUAGGUAUUAUCUUACUUGUAUAAUUGCGAUUUUCAAGAUUUGAAAAGUAAUUUGUUGGUUUUUCGCCUUCAUUAAUCCAUUUAGCAUGGGAUCUCACCAUAUUACCCAUUAGUUUCUGCAUUCUUAAUGUUUCUAAUUCUUUUUUCUUUUCAUUUAUUGUAUCCAUAUGAUGUUCAUAAUCAUCUCUUAAUUAUAAAAGGCCAUCUAACAAUUCUUUUUCCUUUUUCACUUAAUUCUUUUUUUCUUUCUUUUACAUAGCUUGCAAAGGAUAUUGUUUUUGUUCUAAUUUCCAUCAACAGUCUCUAAAUAUAGGUGGUCAUUAAUCGAGAAUUGUAUUUCAGAAUCUGGCAUAUCCAUUAAGGAGGCACUAUUGUAUAUUGUGUACCUUUUGGGGGAAUUUGAGAGAUUCACCACCAUUUCAACUAGGGUAUAUUGAGGUCCUCAAAGGAAUCCUAGAUUUGUCAAGAAGCCAUAUGUUUUAAUUGCUGCCCAACAAAUAGUACAGUGUCUUUGUGUAAAUUAUUCAUUUUGAGGAAAUUGCUGGUGUGCAGUGCACAUUCCUAGAUGAAUUCAUCAGUUUACAUUAAGGAUCUACCUUCAAAUCCUGUAAUAUGGUGUCUGUGAUACUCUAAAGUGCAUGUCACAGACUAAAGUUAGAAAGAUAACUUCCAAGAAUUUUUAAGAAAUUGUUAUAACUUUAAAAUGUAUGUAUAUAUACUGAUAUUGAAUUAA